AUUAUUGAAACUAAAAAUAAAACAAAAUUUUUAGUUUUAUUGCACUUUGUUUUUCUUCUCAUUAUUUCCUUACUGCGGCUAAUGAAGCGGUCGUCUCGCACAUUCAGCUUACUUCCCCAUUGAAAAAUAAGGUGGAUAUAUAUUAUCAUUAUUAUUUUUUUUUACGAGAUGCACCAUUCAAUUUGUGUUAGUUCAUAGUUUUACUGUCUGUACUAUUAUUCUAUCAUGUGAAAAAUACUAAUAGUAUAGAAUUAGCAGGUUUGUCCAAACUUUUAUAUGGUACCAGAUAUGAAUUUGCGGCUGUUUACAGUAUGCAUAAAUGUGUGUGAGUGGCUUAUUGCUUGAAGAAUCAUGCAUGUAUAAAGUAUCAGUGUUUAAUGGGCUACAUGCCAGCAGGUGUGUGUGGGUAAGUGAGAGAGUGAGUGUGUUGGGGGGCUUUGCCCGUGCAACUAAGUAUAAAUAUUUCACCCACUUCUUCAGUUCCCUUUUGUUCAUCAUUAUAGUGGCUCGAUGGCCAACCCCUUUAAUCCACAGCUGAACGAAUGAACGCUAGAGAGGAAAGGAAGAGAAAGCACGUGAGGGAGAGACAGACAUAAAAGUCCCAAUAAGGAUUGCAGAAUGUGAAAGAAAUGAAUAUAUAAAAUAAUGUAUUAUUUUUUUUUUACAUCUGAUUAUGUGAUGUGAAAAGGAGCCAAAAUGUGAAAAGAAGUGGAUUAAAAAUGAAUUUCCUCCAGUGUUUGGUCUAUAUCCGUCCUUCUAUUCUGUUCUCAUUUGCUUCAUAUUUGGAACAUAGACACAUCACUGUGGAUGUUAAAUGUACAUAUGCACUGGUAGUGUCCUUUGUCUCCCUGGUGAUACUUGUUGGUGGAAAGAUGGUGAAUUCAUGCUGGAGCACUCGAUUUCCUAUUCUAUGGUUGUUGGUACUGGUGCACACACAAUGUUUUAAUUAAUGAGAAUGUUUUUUAUUUAUUUGACAUUAACGUUAGUAAAGCUGACUUAUAAUGCAUAGUUUCAGUUUGAUAAGAAAUUUCUGUGCAACAGUUAUUCUUUCUUCAUUUUCCUAGAUUAUAUUUGCAACUCUGUCAUCAGUGCAGUUUGAUCUGUCUUUUGUAUGCAGUAUGCAUUAUCUGUCAGCAGUAUGGAAUACAGAUUGUUGGACCCAUACCAAUCGGGUCAGCAGAGUGUUGGAUUUUCUUUACAAAACCAAUUAGCAGGAAGUUUUUAGGUGCUAAAACAAAUUCUCUCUCUCCUUCUGUCCCAUUUUCUCUAUCGUUGAUAACCUCUAAUUCUCUCACCUCCCUCCCUUCCAUCAUUUUCUGUUGCUCAGAAGCUAUUAUUGACAGCUCUUGCAUUGGCAGUGGUGGGCUAUGGUUUUCAAGCUUCAUUGGGCAUGAUGUUUGCUGAUAAACAUGGGUACCCCUUUCACAGCGACCAGGUAACAAGCAAUUUAUGUAACUUCAAGAAUUAUUUCCCUGCAACCUCCCAAAAAGACUAGUAUAAACGCCCACUUUGCAGCAUUCCCUUCAAUCAAACAUGAAUGGUCUCUUCCUCCUAUAGGAGCUGUUGGCUAUGGGUCUGUGCAACUCUAUUGGCCAGAUGUUCCAGUGCUUUCCAGUAAGCGGGUCCAUGUCUCGCAGCACAGUGCAGGGGAGUACAGGUGGACAAACUCAGGUGUGAACACCUGCUAUUUCUGGUUAAUAAAACAACCUCAUGUUACA
ensembl:lncRNA